AAUCCCUUUCGCGUAUCCUCUGUUUCUUGGUAUUCAGACCGGCAGUUGGAGGCGACCGCGGCGAACGGGGCGGACGAGGUGGCGGAGCAGGGGCCCCGGCGAGUGGGGAGCUGGAGGCACAGCGCAUCCGGCGCCGCACGGGGGCUACGAGCCGGCGGCGCACCUGUCACCGACCAGCGCAGACCCCAAGGCCGUGCCGACGAGGAAGGAGAGAAUCAGGAUGAGGAGGAUGUCGCUGCGGCAGCGAAGGUGGCCAGCAGCCUGAUGAAGCAUCUACGGCCCAGCUUCUCCGGCGCGCCAUCCGGAGAUGGGACGGACGAUCGAGGCGAAGGACGAUGGAGAGGUGGUCGGAGGCGGCGAGCUCCAAGGCAGGCGGGUUGAUGCGGUUCCAGAUGGACGACGGCUUCGCGGGCGGCUGGGCCGAAUCAGCUGCCGUGGCCCAAGCGCGGACGAACGUGCGUUCCUCUCGUCGUCGUCCUCCCGACGGCAGGCCAGGCAGGCGGCAAGAGCUUCUCCGUUCUCCUUGGCGACCUCAAGGUCCCGCUCUUCGGGGUGCUGCUCCAGCAGAGCAGCAGCACGCGCCUCGAAUGGCAGGGGCGGCCGCCGUGGUUUGAGGACGUGCUGCGGGCGUCGACGGCUACCGCGCCCCGGAGGUGGUGGACGCGCGGCGACACUCUCUGGGCGUGCUCUUGCUGGAUCUGCUCAACGGCAAGUCCUCGACGCACGCGUCGCUGCAGGAUGGCGACGGCGGCACGCUGGACCUGCCGCAGUUGGUGCAGUCGGUGGUGCGCGAGGAGUGGACGACCGAGGUGAUUGGCGUGGAGCUGGUGCGGCUAGGCGCCGCGCCGAGGAGAAGAUGGACUCGCUACCGCUGGCACCGGCGAAGCUACGACAUAGCACGCCGCUGGCCUGGCCAGCACCGGCGCUCCGCACACAUCCCUGCCUGACGGCCCCCCAUCACAUAGAUACACAAACACAACAGCGAGCUUUAGUUAUCUGAAUUUUCGGUUCAGUGUCCACAACAGCGAGCUUCAGUUAUCUGAAUUUCCGGUGCAGUGUCGUGAUUUGGAUGGACGCCCGAACACAACAGCGAGGCCAGCUUCAGUUCUCUGAAUCUUCAGUGCAGUGUCGUGAUUUGGAUGGAAUUGGAGACCGUGUCCUUCUCCAACAUAAGUCAAUUUCCAAUGUAAUCAAAUUCGAGUCUCUGUUCUUCUCCAAGGCAAAAGCAUGUAGUACCCGACCCGGAUUGGACUUGGCUGUCAUAAGGAGGGAUCCUCGACCGGAACGUCCAUCAGGCCACGUCCCUCGACCAGAAUCUCCAUCAAAUCCCAUCACAUUGCAACUUUCAGAGGAACAUCCAAUGUCGCUGGCGGAGGAAAAUCAUCCGUCCAGCCGUACUAUGCCGAGUUCGCCGGCGGAAGAAGAACACCCAUCGAGCCCUCCAUCGCCUGAGGCGGCUACACAAAGUGAUGGGAGGUAGAUUGAGCUGAUAAAUUUCUGCACCCACCUUGAGGUCCAUAACGCUCUCCUAAUUAUAUGCAGCCCAAUUCGUAUAGAUGUAUUUGUUUGAGGGAGAGGACUAUCUGUGAUCAGAAGCAACAGUAUGUGAUCAUCAUGUGUGCGAGAGAUGGCAGGAGUAUGUGAUAUGUAUUUCUGUGUACACUACUAAUAUGUAUUGACUGUUCAUGUUGGUACAGUAGGUUCAUGAUUGCUUAUGGAAACAAUAAAAUUACUUGAGGAGGAUUUUAUGAGUAUGUACUUUGAGACUUGAGAGGCUGUUAUUGACAUGGAUUCUCCGUCUACUAGAGAGGCUGAUGUCAAAUCAACAUUGGAACAAGGGCAAUAGAAGUGGAAUGAGGUGAAGUCCUAUCGAUACCUAUAAUUCAUUGAUUAACUCAAACAAAUGAUAGUAGACAUCAACUACUGCAAUUGAUCCAUGAAUAUUUGUUAGGUUGUAGUAUCUAUCUAACAUCUAGAAGGGAACAAUGCGAUGAACAUUUUUUUCUCAAGGUUAUGUAUAUGAGUAUAUCUUUAAAAUGUGGUACAGAGAGCAGAAGGUCUUAAAUGCUUGCAAAUCCUCAGUUUUAAGAGAAUAAGAUACAGUCUUAAUUUAUAUCCAGAUCUAUUUUUGUAUUAUUGGAAUUCUGAACAGGAGAAGGUUGUUAGCUCGUCGUGUGGUCGAUUUGGUUUCUGGAAAUUCUUUCGCAUACUAUGUUUGAGAGCUUUUGUUCUUGAGUUCUUCUGGUGGAGGGAAUCAGAAGUGAUUCUUCUGCAAUGUGAGGAGAUCUCCAAAUCAAGCCAGCCUCCAAGAGAAGACAACAAGUAGUACAUCUCUACCCAGACGAGCUGAAUCUGAACGACUCAGAUUGUCAUGUUACCGUGUACCAGUCCGGCAGAUGUGCAAGUGCAACUACAUUGGUUGAGUGUAAGGCAGACUGAUUCAUCUGCGUGAAGCCAGUAUGACAAGGCUAAGUCUGCACAAGCAAGAAGUCAAUUUGUCAGUGGAAACAUAGCUGCAAGGAUGCGAUAUUUCAACUUUGAGGUUACUUAAGCUUUUGGAUUUCAGAUUUAAUUGCCAUCAUGAAACUGGUAUGCAAUUGUAACACCUCGGAUGUAACUUUCCCAAUUUGUACUCCAACUCUUGCUGUUUCCGGCGUUAAGUUAUUUUAUUUUCUC